GCCACUGUGGCUUAGAGGUAUCCGAAUUCUCGAUGGGAAUUCGGGCUCUAAAUAGCGACGCCUUGGUAAGGCGUAGGUCGAGGGUUCAAUUCCCUCCAGUGGCU
rnacentral:tRNA from 2 species